rnacentral:lncRNA from 1 species
AUUCAGGAGGAAUGAGUGCAAAGUUUGUAUAUUAAUAGCUACACUUUUGGUGGUGUUUUUGGUAAGUGUGGUGGCCUUUUUCUGUGGGCUUUGGGUGGAACUUCCUGACCACUUGAGUUGAAGUGAUAACAGGCUUUGCAGUUCUUCAGCAAAGUGCACUGUCACUUACAGACCAUUGACAACCCCAGAAAUGAACAGACACAUUGACAGUUCUUCAGGAAGAUGAUCUCUUUUGUUCUGGUCCAUCAUAUCGAAAGUCAGGGGUAUUUGAACCCAGUGUAAUUAGAGCAGCUUUCGUGAGUAUGUAACUAAUUCAGUUACAUACUUCCAUUAAGGAGAACAUAUUUUGAUAAAAUAAAGACUUCAUAGAAUAACCUUUGUUUGUUCCUUCCUUCCUUCCUGCCUGCCUGCCUUUCUUUUUUUCUUUCUUUUUCUUUCAGGAAAGCCUUGAAUGCAGUCUUUCCACUACCACAAAUUAUGCAUAGGAAAUGCCAGGAGUCAGCAUAUCCUGGAGUGUCAAAAGUAAGUCUCGGCAUGGGGACACCUACAUGAUCAUAUAUCCUCUGCCAGUGCGGGGAUUACAGAUGUCCAUGAGACCAUGCCUGGCUUCUUAUCAACUCCUCCUGAUUGUACAUCAAAAUCUCUAAACCCUUCAAGUUGUUCUUAAUAUAAAGAAGAGGGCUGGGUGUUACAGGAAGCAGAGCUGAGAUGAAGCAGAUGAAUCCUGUCCAGGACAGUUGGCCUUGAUCUUUGUAUCUGUUCCCAAUCAAAAUAAUAGAGUUAGAGUCAACAGGACCCAAAGAGAUCAUGUGAAUAUUCAUGUUGAAAAGGAACUUUCUGGGCCAUUUGAAAGACAGAUUUCCUGUUUUGUUGCCCAGUUGGUUCUGAGACACGAAAGCCUUGGGUCUCCCAGACUAAGAUCUGCAGCCCUGAGAAACAGUUAUGGUUCGUUCUUCCAUACUGCCCGGCAGAAGACGUCUUUGAAUGAACAUCAGAAAGAAACGAUAAAGGUGAUAAGAGGAGGGGAGGUCUUCAGAGAAAGACAAAUUAUUGUGCUUAAGGCAGACAGCCAAUCUAGCGAACCUCAUUCCACC